rnacentral:rRNA from 1 species
GACGAACGCUGGCGGCGUGCUUAACACAUGCAAGUCGAACGGAAAGGCCCUGCUUUUGUGGGGUGCUCGAGUGGCGAACGGGUGAGUAACACGUGAGUAACCUGCCCUUGACUUUGGGAUAACUUCAGGAAACUGGGGCUAAUACCGGAUAGGAGCUCCUGCUGCAUGGUGGGGGUUGGAAAGUUUCGGCGGUUGGGGAUGGACUCGCGGCUUAUCAGCUUGUUGGUGGGGUAGUGGCUUACCAAGGCUUUGACGGGUAGCCGGCCUGAGAGGGUGACCGGCCACAUUGGGACUGAGAUACGGCCCAGAAUCCUUCGGGAGGCAGCAGGGGGGAAUAUUGCACAAUGGGCGGAAGCCUGAUGCAGGAACGCCGCGGGGGGGAUGACGGGCUUCGGGGUGUAAACCGCUUUCGCCUGUGACGAAGCGUGAGUGACGGUAAUGGGUAAAGAAGCACCGGCUAACUACGUA